CGGGCAGUCGAAGGGACUCAGGCAGAUGCUGCACGUCAGCUCGUCCUCCAGACCGAUCAGAGACACGUCGGCCAUGACCGGCAGAGUCUUAUUUUCAGACCUAAAGGAGUCAGGUUUGCAGAGAGACGAUUGGCUCCUUCCCUCCAUCCUGGACUUCAGAGUCACUGAGACCUUCACACCCUGGACACCAGCUGUUCCCACUCCGCCCUCUGGGGGCGCUACAGAGCACUGGACGCCCAAACCGCCUGACACAGGAACAGCUUCCUCCCACUGGCCGUCACUGUGAAGAACAAUUCAUCCAACACCUCCACCUGCACUACUUUACCACCUUCCCAAAUGCAUUAUACACUGUCAUUGUUCAUAUAUAAUAUUCUGUAUAUAUUUAUUUGUGGACAUAAGUUCAAUAGUUUCUGUGUUCUCUGUUUAAUGACUUGUUGUAAAUCUUGUGUUUGUAUGGAGGACGAGAGCAGUGGCGUCCCUAGGCUAAAACAUCCGGGGCUUAGCCCCGAAUGUUAAUAAUUAACAAAAAGAUUUGGCACACAAGUGGUUAACACCUC